GGCCAGCGGCGUGGCUCGCGACGCGGCGAGCGGGACGGCGGCGCGUCUCGUGGGUGGGGAGCGGCAACAGAUCUGCGCGCGAGCAAGACGGCGGCACGGCUGCGUGGCCCUCGUCGCCCCUGAUCCUCGCCGCGCACGUUGGCCCCUGCUCCGGAUUGCCAGACGCGGUGCCUGGCCCUCGUUGCCCACCCUCGUCCCCGGCGCUGAGCCGCCGCUCUGUCCUGGCCGCCGUCCGCGCCGUCCUAGCCGUGCCGCCGCUCCGACCGUGGCGGAUCCGCGCCGGCCCGGACGCCAAUCCGCGUCCCCGGCUCCGCGCCGUUCGCGCCGUCCCGGAGGAUCCGCGACGCCCGGCCGCCGGUCCACGCCCAGCCGCCGCUCCGUCAACGACUCCGCGCCGUCCUCGCCCCCCGGCUGCCGCGAGGAUGCGUCUCGGGGUGCUCGUCGUCACGCCGGCGACGUUCCGCAACCCCUACAACUUCGAGGACGUCCGGGCCUUCCUGGACUGCGGCGCGGCAUCCGAGCGGCGCCUGCACGCUCGGCCCCCGCGCCCCGUCUCCCGCGCCCGCCGACGUGCGCCGUGCCUCUCCGCCGCACUCCAAAAGUGGUCCUCCCCCGCCGCCGCCACCAACGCCGAGGCAGCUGGCACCUUCCCGCACUGCUGAAUCCUGUCCCGCCCCCACGAAAAUAGCUGCGAAAUUCCGGUGAUUAGUAUUUUCGUUUGCUGCUUUCCAUGUUUUUCCGAACAAAUUGAUUUCCAUGUUUUCUCCCACACACGUUCCAGGCAAGGCCGGCGAGGAUUGUUGAUCCUCCACGAUCUGCAAUUUGGCCGCCGGCAAGGCACGUCGUCUGAACGGCAAUUUUAUUAGCCUGCCCAAGAGUGUGACCAAGGCCAGCAGCCGCCACCGCUGAUGCAGCUUAUGAGAGAGUGGCGUUAGCGGUGCCCGGCGCCUUAGCUCUGGCUCCACCUUUACCCGUCCAUGCAAACGAGGCAGUGUCUCAAUCUACAAGGGACCAUCUAGCGGCUUCCACUUUCUAUCAUCUCUUUUGCCUUUUCUAUUCGAUUUGAAUUGGCAAGUAGCUUUUGGUGUACCUUCCGGUGCGUGGUUAUGAAACAGCCAUUAUCUUGAUAUCGUGUCUAGCUAUGUUGUUAUUAUAUUUUGACUAGCUGUUUAUUUGAUCAAAUAAUGAACCCUAAUGUCCAAUUUACAAUCUUCCAUUCUUGCUGUAUUGAUUCAGUUAGUUCCAGAAUGCCUGCAGCCUGCUGAUGCAGUCAUUUAUGUUUUUUUUUAAAAAAAAUUUGCCUAACCUGAAUAGCACUGCAGCAAUCUACAACUGACCAUUGCCAUGACAUAUUAUGACACACACAUCACUGGCCUACAAGUGUAUCUUGUAUAUGAUUUCGGCUGAAGUUCAAUUCUUGCUCAUUAUCUGUUCAGGUAUCUUCUCCAUUGAUGUGUUCCACUGUUUUGGACCUCCAAGACUGGUAACGACAAUAAUGAAUCUUGUCCACCAAACCUCACCAUAGAGGAUUCUAGGCUAGCAGUUGAUUUUGAGGUGUUACCAUCUGAUCUGAGGCUCGUGUAAAUUGUUUGUGUACUGAUGGAUCGGCCGAGUCCACUUAGUGAUGUGUCAAACAUUGUUAGUUGACGGGGUUAUAAGAUGUUAAGACAAGAAUCAGAAGGAUAUGAUGAUCAUGGUGUCCAAGCCAUUGAAAAUAUUGAUCAUGCAGAACAUUUGCAGCAAAAGAGAAAGGAGAAAUAUGCCAGUUUGACUGAGAAGGAGAAGGAAAGAAAUGUGCAAAGGCAAAGGAAAAUUAUCAUUGGAGAAGGUUGGGGCAACACAUUGAACAUAACUCACAAUGUGUCUGUGCAGAGGCAGGCAGCCCAUUGGAAUUGAUUCCAUUAUCUUAAUGACGAUAGUGGUGAGGAUUGGCUCCAGAGGAACAAGUCUUAUACAAGACCAAGAAGAGAUGUGAGAGAACCGGGUCCCAUCACUAAUCGAUGAAACUCCCUAGCUGUGUGUAGGUUUUUGAUGCUGGAUUUUUUUUUUAAUUUUCAGUCUCAGUGUGGGUCAGCUUAUUUCAAUUACAUAUAUCUGUCAUCAUUUCCCAUGCUCUUCUCAAGCAUUAUAGUCCAAUAAUGGUUCUUCCUGAUAUCUUCUUGUUUGGUAAUUUUAUGAAACAUAUAUAAUAGUUUUACUAGACUGAUAUAUAAGGCACGUCAUAAUUUUUUUGCUUUGGCUGUUUUGUUAAGUGUGCACGUUCUAAUGACGGUAAUUGACUGGUGGAGAGGAAAACAAAGAGGUGGAGAGUCUACUCAGGGAUUUAGGGAUGGAAAGCACAGGGAGAAAGGAGUGAGGGAGGGUCUGGUGCUCUCUGCUAUAGCACUAUGCAGAUCUUCAUAAGAGCUAUUCAUUUAUUUUUCGAGUCUUGGCAUUUUUUUUGGUGAUAUUGCAAAAUACCAGUGAAAUAUUUGUAUAGGCAGUUAUCACUGUUUUAGUAACUGAAAUUUGUUCUCCUGUAGAUACAUAUAUGUAAAUAUACACCAGCAAUUAAUUGUCAAUUUCAUAACUUAUUUUAUGAUCAAGAUGUUUAAUUUUAUCCA